rnacentral:lncRNA from 1 species
UAGUCGGCCGACUAGACCGACUUUUAGAACACUGAUUAAAGCUUUGAGCAUCCAUUGAUAUGACAUGCAAAUCAAAUUUUCAGAGAUCCUAAUUGAUAUCCAGUGAUCAAAUUUAAAGCCAAUUUAAGAAAAUAUUAUUUGACAAGAAGAGUCAUUUGAGCAACUAGCAGAAAAAAUUAAUGGAGUUGGUGGAAAGUAACAGCAAUAACAUGAAAACAUCACAUUAUGAGUGCAUAACAUGUGCAGUGUAUCCAACUUUUAAACAGAAUAAAGAACUGUGGCACCUAUGUACUAGCAGCAGGCAAUUGAGCAUUGCGUCUCCCUUUUUGAGGUGGACAUCAGACAUCAGAUAUCAGAUACAGCUCAAGCUAGCCCUGGUUGUUGAAGUACUUGGUCACUUUUAUGUCUCACUUUGGCUAUAUGGCAUCAUCCAGAACUAUUUACUCUCUUAAUGAGCAAGUUACUGGGUAUGGGUCAUAUUCACAUGAACUUUGCCAUAGGAUUUCAAUCUGCCCUUCCAAGCCUGACUAUCCUAGGUGGCUAGGUCUUUGCAUAAAAGUUGAGUCCAGUUCACCAAAGAGGUAUCUUAGCAGCUUCCUUCCUAGCAGUAUUUUCUUGUUUUGGCAACUAUGCCUUACAUAUAUUCAGUCUGUAGUUAAAUUUAUCCUACAAGCUUCUCUCAUCACAGUUUCUAAUUAAUUGCAAUUAUUUUAUCAACGAACUAGUAAUGUAUCUUGAUCUUGUUUCAUUUGUCUACAAGUCCUGGCUUGAUUAGCCUAGUGCAGGGUAAGUGGGUAACACCUGUUUACAAAUUUCAUUAAUGUUCAUUAUAGUUUAAUCUCCUGGCAUAUUUUCAUUUUUGACUUUCUAGUAGAAGUACUUCAAUAUAGACGUUGGAGUCUGUAUCCUGUUCAAGAUGGUAACCUUCUCUGCUGUAUUUUGCAAAAAACGUGUCUAGAUUUGCGGAUGGUUUUCACUCUACGAUCUGUAAAUUUUUGUUUUUUUCCCACUUACAUAGAGGUAAGGCUGCCUACAUUCGGCCUUCCCCAGGCCCAUCACCCCAAGUUAAGUCCGUGAAAUAAUGUUUGACAUGUAGGCUAUGAUAGUGUAAUCUAGAAGAAAAUUGAUUUACAUUUGAGUGCUUAUUUCAUAUUUUUCUAUAACUUCUGGUUGUACUAAUCUGGCAUUCCCCCUCCCCCCCACCACCCCCAGAUUGGUUUCUUCUCGGGUCGUAAAAAGGAGAGCAUCUUCAAGUCUCCAGAUGAUCCUUUUGGAAAGGUUGGCGUUACCGGAAGUGGGAAAGGUUUGACAGAGUUUCAGAAGAGGGAAAAACACUUGCAUCUCAAGGGAGCAAAUGCUGAGGGCACAGAUGAGUAGAGAUAGUUGAGGAGGUGCACUGAUUUCCUAAUGUAUGUUAUAUAUAUAGGGUACUAUUAUUAUGUUUUUCAGUCUCUUGCAUUAGCAAAUAGUCUUGGCUUUUAUGCAGAAGCAUUGUGCUAGCUAGAUUUCCAUAACAAAGGAAGUAGGUUCUGAACCUCAGAAAAGCUCUUCAUUUCAACUCAUGGGGUUUAUGGUUUUGUUUUGGUUAAUCAAUAUUGCUUCUUAUCUCUAACCCUUUAUAAUUAAUGAUUGUAAUCAGAUUUUGAGGUGUUAGUGUUUCAUCAUCCGUUUAUUAAUUUAAUGAUGCACGUUUAAUUAAGUUACAAUACAGGCAUAAUAUGAGUAAUCAUUAAGAUAAUACUAGUCUUAAUUAAUUAUACUCCUUCCGUCCAAGUUAAUUGUCUAUUUACCUUAAGUUAUCUAUUUUUUUAUAAUAAUUUGCCUAUAAUACCCUUAUUAUUAAUUGUUAUAUUUCUAUUCUCUAUGUAUAUUUAUAGAGCAUCACUAGUAAUGUGCAGAAACUAUGCAAUUAUAUGAGAAUUUAAAUAUGGAUAAUUUUGUUAUUUGAUCUUUCUUAAUAUACGCAAAAAAUCAACUAGGAUUUUUAUCCUGGAUUGAGGUAGUAUAGUUGAUUGAGAAGGGGUAGGAAUUCAAUAUAUUCUAGGUGACAUGCGUCUGCAGAUUAGCAAUGCAUCGAAAACAAUAACAAAGAAAUUGAAAGAAAAUAAACAUACAAGUGGUUCACCCAAGUAUUGGGUUAGUAUUUGUUGAUGGUGAUAAAUUAAUAAACACUAUUUUGAUAUUUUUAUAUGAUUCUCCCUCACCUAAAGUGAGACCCACUUUAUAAAAUAUCAAAAAACACGUGAAAAUAUCACUUCCAUUAUCAGAAAACUAAACUUGCAGUGCUGGAUUUAUAUAUUAUGAGUACGUAGUUUAAUAGUUAUUUCUAAAUUAAGCUGGCCUAGGCAUUACCAAUAACAUUAAGAAAGCUUUACAUGAAAAUGGGAGCCCAAGAAUCAUACUUGACAUAAUAUUAAAUUUCAAUUACUUUUAGAAAACAUUUUUUCCACCAAAUCUUUACUUGAAUUAUUUAGUAUGAGCCUUAAUAAAGCUUUUACUAAAUCUAAUAUCCCUUGUCCCCAAAAAAAAGAAAAAAAAACAGAGAGAAGAAGUUCCUUCUCUUCCUCUCUCUUGAUAUAAAUCCGGCUUGCAGUAAUUAUAUCCAUUUGCUGUAUAAUAGGAAUACAUGUAGGUAGAGCUUUAUGCCAUGAAGGGGCCAUGCAUGCUAGUCUUUUAUGCAACAUUUUCAGGAGCAUUGAAUCAGUGGUGAAAGGAGAACAGGAAUAUAUAUAUAUAUAUGGGGUUCCAUCUAUAGCAACCGGUUGCUGUAGAACAACCUUUUUUUUGGCCUAUGAAAUUUCGACUGAAACAAUAAAAAAAAAAUUAAAAAAAUUCAUAAGCCAAAAAUAGAAUUGCUCUACAGCAUGCCCUAUAUAUAUAUAUAUAUAUAUAUAUAUAUAUAUAUAUAUAUAUAUAUAUAUAGAGCCCGGAUCAGAGGCAUUCCGCUUAAAUGACAUUAUCCCUUAAACGACAUUACCUAUUUAAGCCUCCGUGUUUUUCCAGUUUAACAUUCUCUCUCCUCUGCCCAAAACAAAAUUUGAGCUGCGAUGCUCUAUUUCUCUCCUUCACAAAACCUUCCUAGCAAAAUUCGAAUCAAGCAAGAAGACGGAGACCAAGAAUCGAAGUUUAUGCCCAGAUCUCGACUUCGAUUCCGUAUACCCUUUCUUUGUUUGUGUAAUUUCGGUAAGAAUUGACCCAUCAUUUUAUUCGUAUUGAUCUUCCUUGUUGAUCUUCCUUUCUUUAUUUGUUGUUGUUUUUUUACACAGAUUAGAGAUAUUUAUACAUGUAAUGGGUAUAAAUCGAAGAACAGUUGUAUUCUCAUUAUACAAUAAAAUAAAUGUGUAAAUAUCGAGAGAGAGAGAGAGACGGACAGUUUAUCGGCUUUGAUGAUUACCUUCUCGGGAGCAUAAACCCAUUACAUGUAUAAAUAUCUCUAAUCUGUGUAAAAAAACAACAACAAAUAAAGAAAGGAAGAUCAACAAGGAAGAUCAAUACGAAUAAAAUGAUGGGUCAAUUCUUACCGAAAUUACACAAACAAAGAAAGGGUAUACGGAAUCGAAGUCGAGAUCUGGGCAUAAACUUCGAUUCUUGGUCUCCGUCUUCUUGCUUGAUUCGAAUUUUGCUAGGAAGGUUUUGUGAAGGAGAGAAAUAGAGCAUCGCAGCUCAAAUUUUGUUUUGGGCAGAGGAGAGAGAAUGUUAAACUGGAAAAACACGGAGGCUUAAAUAGGUAAUGUCGUUUAAGGGAUAAUGUCGUUUAAGCGGAAUGCCUCUGAUCCGGGCUCUCUCUCUCUCUCUCUCUCUCUCUCUCUCUCUCUAUAUAUAUAUAUAUAUAUAUAUAUAUAUAUAUAUAUAUAUAUAUAUAUAGCUAGC